ACGAACGCUGGCGGCGUGCUUAACACAUGCAAGUCGAGCGGUAAGGCCCUUCGGGGUACACGAGCGGCGAACGGGUGAGUAACACGUGGGUGAUCUGCCUCGCACUCUGGGAUAAGCCUGGGAAACUGGGUCUAAUACCGGAUAUGAGCWKCMKUCGCAUGGMKGKKGUUGGAAAGGUUUACUGGUGCGAGAUGGGCCCGCGGCCUAUCAGCUUGUUGGUGAGGUAACGGCUCACCAAGGCGACGACGGGUAGCCGGCCUGAGAGGGCGACCGGCCACACUGGGACUGAGACACGGCCCAGACUCCUACGGGAGGCAGCAGUGGGGAAUAUUGCACAAUGGGCGAAAGCCUGAUGCAGCGACGCCGCGUGAGGGAUGACGGCCUUCGGGUUGUAAACCUCUUUCGACAGGGACGAAGCGCAAGUGACGGUACCUGUAGAAGAAGCACCGGCUAACU
rnacentral:rRNA from 1 species